GGAGGAUCCGAGCGUUAUCCGGAUUUAUUGGGUUUAAAGGGUGCGUAGGCGGCCUAUUAAGUCAGGGGUGAAAUACGGUGGCUCAACCAUCGCAGUGCCUUUGAUACUGAUGGGCUUGAAUCCAUUUGAAGUGGGCGGAAUAAGACAAGUAGCGGUGAAAUGCAUAGAUAUGUCUUAGAACUCCGAUUGCGAAGGCAGCUCACUAAGCUGGUAUUGACGCUGAUGCACGAAAGCGUGGGGAUCGAACAGGAUUAGAUACCCUGGUAGUCCACGCCCUAAACGAUGAUAACUCGAUGUUGGCGAUAGACAGCCAGCGUCCAAGCGAAAGCGUUAAGUUAUCCACCUGGGGAGUACGCCCGCAAGGGUGAAACUCAAAGGAAUUGACGGGGGCCCGCACAAGCGGUGGAUUAUGUGGUUUAAUUCGAUGAUACGCGAGGAACCUUACCAAGGCUUAAAUGGGAAAUGACAGGUUUAGAAAUAGACUUUUCUUCGGACAUUUUUCAAGGUGC
rnacentral:rRNA from 1 species